rnacentral:rRNA from 1 species
UGGGGAAUUUUGGACAAUGGGCGAAAGCCUGAUCCAGCAAUGCCGCGUGUGUGAAGAAGGCCUUCGGGUUGUAAAGCACUUUUGUCCGGAAAGAAAUCCUUGGCUCUAAUACAGUCGGGGGAUGACGGUACCGGAAGAAUAAGCACCGGCUAACUACGUGCCAGCAGCCGCGGUAAUACGUAGGGUGCAAGCGUUAAUCGGAAUUACUGGGCGUAAAGCGUGCGCAGGCGGUUUGCUAAGACCGAUGUGAAAUCCCCGGGCUCAACCUGGGAACUGCAUUGGUGACUGGCAGGCUAGAGUAUGGCAGAGGGGGGUAGAAUUCCACGUGUAGCAGUGAAAUGCGUAGAGAUGUGGAGGAAUACCGAUGGCGAAGGCAGCCCCCUGGGCCAAUACUGACGCUCAUGCACGAAAGCGUGGGGAGCAAACAGGAUUAGAUACCCUGGUAGUCCACGCCCUAAACGAUGUCAACUAGUUGUUGGGGAUUCAUUUCCUUAGUAACGUAGCUAACGCGUGGAGUUGACCGCCUGGGGAGUACGGUCGCAAGAUUAAAACUCAAAUGAA